CUGUUCCCGGAUGUGGGAGGGAGUGAAAAGGGAAUCGGGUGUAAGUCCCGGACAGACCCGCUGCUGUGUAGCUCCGUUUUCGUUCCGAACAUCUCGGCCACUGGUCCCUAAGGAUCGGGAAGGCUUCGGAACGGGAGUCAGUCAGAAGACCUGCCAGAUCGAU
rnacentral:ncRNA from 1 species